UACGUAGGGUGCAAGCGUUAAUCGGAAUUACUGGGCGUAAAGCGUGCGCAGGCGGUUUUGUAAGUCUGUCGUGAAAGCCCCGGGCUCAACCUGGGAAUUGCGAUGGAGACUGCAAGGCUUGAAUUUGGCAGAGGGGGGUAGAAUUCCACGUGUAGCAGUGAAAUGCGUAGAGAUGUGGAGGAACACCGAUGGCGAAGGCAGCCCCCUGGGUCA
rnacentral:rRNA from 1 species